rnacentral:tRNA from 1 species
UCCGGCGUGGUGUAAUCGGCAGCACGAUCUCCUUUGGAGUGAUUAGUUCAGGUUCGAGCCCUGGCGCCGGAG